rnacentral:rRNA from 1 species
AUUGAACGCUGGCGGCAGGCCUAACACAUGCAAGUCGAGCGGAUGAAGGGAGCUUGCUCCUGGAUUCAGCGGCGGACGGGUGAGUAAUGCCUAGGAAUCUGCCUGGUAGUGGGGGAUAACGUCCGGAAACGGGCGCUAAUACCGCAUACGUCCUGAGGGAGAAAGUGGGGGAUCUUCGGACCUCACGCUAUCAGAUGAGCCUAGGUCGGAUUAGCUAGUUGGUGGGGUAAAGGCCUACCAAGGCGACGAUCCGUAACUGGUCUGAGAGGAUGAUCAGUCACACUGGAACUGAGACACGGUCCAGACUCCUACGGGAGGCAGCAGUGGGGAAUAUUGGACAAUGGGCGAAAGCCUGAUCCAGCCAUGCCGCGUGUGUGAAGAAGGUCUUCGGAUUGUAAAGCACUUUAAGCUGGGAGGAAGGGCAGUAAGUUAAUACCUUGCUGUUUCGACGUUACCAACAGAAUAAGCACCGGCUAACUUCGUG